AGAGAAAGAAGGGAAAAUGCAGGUGAGGAAGAGAGAAGCCAAAUCCACGCUCUCUGAAUUCGGAGAGGAUGGCAGGAUUUAAAAGAGCAAGUGACCUUCAGGAAAUUGAUCCCGGCGUUGAUGGAUCACUAUAUUUAGGACACAGACUAAUAGGUCAGCUGUUGCCUCUUCACUGCAGAAAAGGGAUUUUCAAACUGUUCUGCAAAUACGGCAGGCAGGUAGGGGAGAUGAGUCCUCCCAUCCUGUCAUUACCGAUGGAAAAACUGAUACGCGGAGAUGUGACAUGACUUGUCCCAGAAAACCUCCCUAAAAGAGACUCUCAUCGCUUGCUUCUGAGACCUGAAUGCACUGCUGUGAUUCAUACUGUAAUUGCUAGAGGAGAUGGGGAGGGACUGCACCUGUGUGGGACCACGAGGGAC